rnacentral:rRNA from 1 species
AUGCAAGUCGAACGCAACCUUCGGGUUGAGUGGCGGACGGGUGAGUAACGCGUGAGAAUCUGCCUUGGGGUCGGGGACAACCACUGGAAACGGUGGCUAAUACCGGAUAAGCCUUUGGGUAAAAAAUUUAUUGCCCCAAGAGGAGCUCGCGUCUGAUUAGCUAGUUGGUGAGGUAAGAGCUCACCAAGGCAGCGAUCAGUAGCUGGUCUGAGAGGACGAUCAGCCACACUGGGACUGAGACACGGCCCAGACUCCUACGGGAGGCAGCAGUGGGGAAUUUUCCGCAAUGGGCGAAAGCCUGACGGAGCAAGACCGCGUGAGGGAGGAAGGCUCUUGGGUUGUAAACCUCUUUUCUCAGGGAAGAAGCUCUGACGGUACCUGAGGAAUCAGCCUCGGCUAACUCCGUGCCAGCAGCCGCGGUAAUACGGAGGAGGCAAGCGUUAUCCGGAAUUAUUGGGCGUAAAGCGUCCGCAGGUGGCGAUUCAAGUCUGCUGUCAAAGCACGGGGCUUAACUCCGUUAAGGCAGUGGAAACUGAAUAGCUAGAGUGCCGUAGGGGUAGAGGGAAUUCCCGGUGUAGCGGUGAAAUGCGUAGAGAUCGGGAAGAACAUCGGUGGCGAAAGCGCUCUACUGGACGGCAACUGACACUCAGGGACGAAAGCUAGGGGAGCGAAUGGGAUUAGAUACCCCAGUAGUCCUAGCUGUAAACGAUGGAUACUAGGUGUAGCUUGUAUCGACCCGAGCUGUGCCGAAGCUAACGCGUUAAGUAUCCCGCCUGGGGAGUACGCACGCAAGUGUGAAACUCAAAGGAAUUGACGGGGGCCCGCACAAGCGGUGGAGUAUGUGGUU